UUUCGUUUUGCCGCAUGUCAUUUAAUUCGGUAGGCGAUACGGUCACACUGGUGGCACUGCUUCAACAUCAAAGUGUGAAAAUUUGUCAAAUAUUUCGUAAAGUACAGCUAUCUGAUCGAUUUGGGAGCAGAGAUUGCACCCGUAGCAAAACGCCCGCGUGUUCCACCUGAUCCGGAGAUGCAGAAAUCCACCGACCGGGUGCGGCGCCUCAAAAAGCUGAAGAGCGUUACGGGGACUCAGGAUGGCGGCGACAGUGGAGCUGUGGCAGCGGCAACGGCGGCGGCGGAAACCCGGACAUCGGAAUCCACGGACACAAACGGAGGAGCCUCCGCCAGCAGUGGAUCCCUCAAUCCGGAGAUCUUCAAGCACUUUGAUAAAUCCGGUCGGAGCGAAUUCCUAAAGUACCUCAAGCAGCAGCUCCAGGAUACGGCCGACAAUCCCGUAUACGACCGGAAUGGCGUCUUCAAACAGGGCGUCUCCAAUGCCAUCUACGAGCUGCUCUGGCAGGCCCUGCGAUUCACCCACAAAAAGGAUCUGGUGCUCCAUCUGCUCAUGGAAGUCGUGGCCCUUCACGCAGAGUUUCCCAGCCUAAUAUUGGAUGUGAUCAAUAUCCUGGACAACGAAACCUCGCUUAUGACCGAAGGAUUACAUGAGGAGCGUCAUGCCUUCGUGCAAUUGGUCAAGGACAUUGACAAGGUGGUUCCAGAAAGUCUACUGAAAGAGCGAUUGGAAAUUGACACGUUGCAGGAGGUGGGCAUUGUCAAAAACAAAAGCUUCUACUCCAAGUUCAUCAAGGUCAAAACCAAAUUAUACUAUAAGCAGCGUCGUUUUAAUCUUUUCCGCGAGGAAAGCGAGGGAUUUGCCAAACUUAUAACAGAGCUGAAUCAGGAAUUUGAAGAGAACACCACUCCGGAAAGCAUAAUGGACAUCAUUAAAUCUUUAAUAGGCUGCUUUAAUCUGGAUCCCAAUCGAGUGCUGGACAUUAUUAUCGAGUCCUUCGAAACUCGUCCCGACCGCUGGAACUUGUUCAUUCCCCUGCUGCGAAGCUAUAUGCCAACUGGUGCCAUAAUAUGCGAGGUCCUUGGCUAUAAAUUCUGCCACUUUAAGGACUCCCGCACGCCCCGCUCUUUAUAUCAUGUUUGUGCCCUUCUACUGAAGCACGGCGUCAUUGCGCUGAACGAUGUAUAUGUCUGGUUAACCCCAAACGAUGGAAGCAUCAAGGCAGAUUGGGAGGAAGAGUUGGCGGAUGCCAGAGAAAUGGUGCGCAAGCUGAACCUCAUCCAAACCAACAAAAAGGAGGACGAAAAGGAUUUACCACCACCGCCUACUGUUAAGAAGUUCAACGAGGAAAAGUAUAAUGUCAAUCAAAAGUUUGGUCUCUGCGAAGCUUUACUCAAAGUGGGUGACUGGGAGAAUGCCUACAAGAUUAUCCAGAAGCUUCCCGAACAGGCGGUAGUUCUGCAAGAGCCCAUCGCCCGUGCCAUUGCCGAUCUGAUACACCUGUCCGUGGAGAGUGUUUACUAUAAGAAAUGCUUCAAGGCACCCGCCGGACGAAGGCAGAGCCGGAAUCGCUUGUACGACGACUCAAAGCUGGUGGCCAAGAUGCAGGCAAAGGAAUUCAGUGAUCUGAGGAAGUACACCUGGCCGAUGGCUAAUGUCUUGGGACCCGCCAUGCACUACGACACUGUGCUUAUGUACAAGCUUAUUCGCAUUAUGCGAAAACUUGUGGUGGAGAUGGGCGUGGACAGUUUAAAUGGACCCCCGCCAAACUCGGAGGCGGAGCAGCAUUACUAUGACAUUAUGAGCUCGCUGGAUGCUUGCAUUUUACCCUCGCUUCUCUACCUGGACAAUAACUGCUCUAUGUCCGAGGAGAUUUGGGCUGUGCUCAAGUACUUCCCGUACCACUUCCGCUACAGUUUGUAUGCGCGUUGGAAGAACGAUAGCUACCAGCUGCAUCCGAACUUGAUCAGGCGAUGUGGCCUAGCUCAGCGGGACAUCAAGGCGCUGAUGAAGCGAGUGAGCAAGGAGAAUGUCAAGCAAUUGGGUCGUCUAGUGGGCAAGUACAGCCACUGUGCUCCAGGACUGUUGUUCGACUAUAUUCUCUUGCAAAUCCAGAUCUAUGACAAUCUCAUUGGUCCCGUCUGCGACAUGCUCAAGUAUCUUACUGCCCUGUCUUUUGAUUGUCUGGGAUACUGUAUCAUUGAGUCGCUGACGUUGACGGGUCGUCUCAGGUUCAAGGAUGACGGCACCUCUUUAUCCUUGUGGCUGCAAAGUCUGGCCUCUUUCUGCGGCACCAUCUACAAGAAGUACAGCAUUGAGCUGAGCGGAUUGCUGCAGUAUGUGGCCAAUCAGCUGAAGUCUCAGAAAAGCCUGGAUCUACUGAUCCUGCGGGAGAUUGUGCAUAAGAUGGCAGGCGUGGAGUCAUGCGAGGAAAUGACAAACGAUCAGCUGCAGGCCAUGUGCGGUGGCGAACAGCUCAGGGGAGAGGCUGGCUACUUUAGUCAAGUGAGGAACACGAAAAAGUCUUCUAAUCGUCUGAAGGAGGCAUUGGCCAACAACGAUCUCGCAGUGGCUAUUUGCCUGCUGAUGGCUCAACAGAAGCACUGUGUCAUCUAUCGCGAGACGGCGGCCCACAGUCAUUUGAAGUUGGUGGGACAUCUGUACGAUCAAUGCCAGGACACGCUGGUCCAGUUUGGUACCUUCCUGGGAUCCACCUAUUCAGUGGAUGAAUAUGUAGAGCGCCUGCCCUCCAUCAUAACCAUGCUGCGGGAAUAUCACAUCAACACAGAUGUGGCCUUCUUUCUGGCCAGGCCCAUGUUCACUCACCAAAUCAAUCAAAAAUAUGACCAAUUGCGAAAGGCUGAUCCGAAUGCCAAGAAGCUGACCACAACGCAAAAGCUGCAAAAGUAUCUGGAGGCCACGCAGCUGAUCAUGAACCCGAUUGUGGAAUCCGUUCGCCCGCUGCACAGCGCCAAGGUGUGGGAGGACAUCAGUCCGCAGUUCCUGGUGACUUUCUGGAGCCUCAGCAUGUACGAUUUGCAUGUGCCCAACGAUAGCUAUCAGCGUGAGAUUGGCAAGCUAAAGCAGCUGGCUCAGCAGGCGGCCGAGGGCAAGGACUCCAAUCAGUCGAAGAACAAAAAAGAACAGGAGCGCUACAUUGCGUUGAUGGAGAAGCUGAACGAUGAGCGCAAGAAACAGCACGAGCAUGUGGACAAGAUCUCGCAGCGGCUGCAGGAGCAAAAGGAUAGUUGGUUCCUGCUCCGCUCGGCCAAGUCGGCCAAGAACGACACCAUCACGCAGUUCCUGCAGCUCUGUCUCUUCCCGCGUUGCACUUUCACAGCCUUGGAUGCGCUGUAUUGCGCAAAGUUUGUGCACGCCAUACACAACCUCAAGACUUCGAACUUCUCUACUCUGCUGUGCUACGAUAGGAUCUUCUGUGACAUCACUUACUCGGUGACUUCGUGCACGGAGGGCGAGGCCACGCGGUAUGGUCGCUUUCUGUGUGCCAUGCUAGAAACAGUGAUGCGUUGGCAUGCAGAUCAGGCGGUGUUCAACAAGGAGUGCGCCAACUAUCCUGGUUUCGUGACCAAGUUCCGCGUGAGCAACCAGUUCUCGGAGGCCAACGAUCACGUUGGAUACGAGAACUAUCGCCAUGUGUGCCACAAGUGGCACUACAAGAUCACCAAGGCCAUUGUGUUCUGCUUGGACUCCAAGGACUUUAUGCAGAUUCGUAAUGCACUGAUUAUCCUGAUGCGCAUCCUACCUCACUAUCCUGUCCUCGCCAAACUGGCGCAAAUCAUCGAACGUAAGGUGGACAAGGUGCGCGAGGAGGAGAAGACAAAGCGGCCGGAUCUGUAUGCCAUUGCCUCCAGUUACAUUGGUCAGCUGAAGCUGAAGACGCCUCACAUGCUCAAGGAGAGCGACUUCCAUCAGAUGGCCGAGCGGCCCAACAAGGAGCCGCCGACCACCGCUGCUGGAGCACCUGGCGCUGGCGUUAAAGUAGAGAAGAUGUCGCCCACCUCGCCGCCUACUCAGGAACGGGGAGCAAAGGUCGCUGGUGGAGCAGCUCCCUUCUACAACAACGAGCGAAAGUCGGUGAACAAGGAGCCGGAGGCGAAAACAGCUACGCUCACGCGCAGCGAUUCGAAGAGCGUAAAAAGCGAGGGCACCGGCAGUACUAUGGUGUCCACAACCUCAACCUCAACCUCGACAGCUUCCAACAACGAUCGCGAGAGCAAGCCACGUGAUCCCCGGGAGUCCCAAUCCCGCAGCAAGGAUGAGCAGCUUGAGCAGACGAACAACAAUGGCAGCAAUGGGAGCAGACAGAGCGAGAGCCGUAGCAAUCGGGAUGUGGAUGGGCGAGAAAGACAGCAGGAACAGCAGGACCAGCGUCACGGAAGCUUAAGUAGCCACCGCAGUUCCAGGGAGACGGUGAGGCUCAAGGAGCGAACAGAGGCCGAGCAGCAUCAGCGGUCGCGGGAACGCUCCCAGCGGCAGGAGGAGUUGGAGCGGAAGCGUGAGAAGCCUUCGCGACGUGGCGCCGAAGAACGAAAUCGCCAUGGCGAUGGCGUCGAGACAGUGGAUCUGGUGGGCAGCACCGAUAAUCGCCACUACGAGGAGUUCGAGGGACGUAUGCGGGAUCGUGAUUUGAGCUCUGUGUCCAACGAGAGCAAUGGUUCCAUGCAGCAUCGGCAACGUAGCCAUGAGACCAUUGAAUUCGAAAAAGAUUCAAAGCGUCGCAAAUUGGAGUCGUCAACCAGCAGUUCAAAGGUUAGUAGCAUAUGGUUGCAGACAUAAGUACGCUAAGACAACAACAAUAUAAAAAACACCCCACGACUACGAUGACGAUCAAAUCUGGAGGGAAAAUACACGAAGUUCCGACUGGGCAUGCGAGAAUUAAACCGAUUUGCUACACCAAAACUCCAAACUCCAAACUGCGACUUCAAAAUCAACGAAUCAACAACGAACCCACCACCCCUAAAAAAUAUCAAAACAUAAAUAACUUAUGCUUGAUGUGGAUGCGAUGGAUCUCGUUCUCACCUGCAAUUUCCUUUAAUUCUAAGUAUAAAAUGUAGUUUAUUUCGGGGUGUUAGUUUUAAGAGGUAUAAGCAAAAAGUUCAACUUUUAGACCAAUAUGACAGGAUCAUUGUUGAUUUUACAAAGGAAAUGAUUUUUUUUGUACAUUCAAGUUUGUUAAUUAAUUGUAGUAGUUUAAGAGUAAUUGUGUAAAUAACGGACUAAAUCGGAGCAUUGGGACCAUUAAGACGACAAUCGAAAGCCAAAAGACGAAUCUAGCUGGAAGCGCGGAGAAAAAUCUUCUCAAAAACAAGGAUUACGAUGGAGAAACUCGACAAUUUUCAUUAAAAAAAAAACCCCAAGAUUUCGAAGAAGGAAAAAAUCAUCGGCAUUAACUUUUUUGGUAUCCUGCUAACUAAAUCUACAAAGGACAAAAUUCUAAAAGUAUAUCAACAAGCAGCAUCAAUAAUAACUUAACCUGCUGAAACAUCACAACAAAAAGUCUACAAACAAAUUGUGAUCCCGAUGAAUUUAAAAACAUACUGGACGGAAAUGAUUAAAAAAAAGUUUACCAUAAAGAAGACUGCAACCAUUACUACAAAAUACUGGAACCGUGUAUAUAAACUAGCACUACAACUCUGAUUCAUGAAGUACCAACCACUCAAACGCGAUGUAAAUCAUUCAAAGCGGAUAUUCAAGUCAACUAGUACCUCUUCUACGCUUCGUUGCCAAAAACCUGUGGAUCGAUCUCUCAAGUUUAAAUCGAAAUUAUCAAACUCCCUGUAUUAUAUGGAACCUGAAUAAUUCCAACCACUUCAGUUAUAACUACCGGACCUAUUUUACCUGGACUCUCCUUUCAUUUAACUGGAGUGCCAUGCAUUGAUCAAAUUACAUUAACAUUCCGAAUCAUCAAACAAACUUAAAAAUUACGGACCAUUACUCCAAGAGACAACCGUAAACAAGAAUUCUCAACAUUAUUAAUUGUGGAUAUGGAGGCUUUCAUUCCAUCAGCUACUGCCAUCUGAAAAGCAAAACGUGGAUUGAACCAAUACAAUUUCUCUGUGGAACAUUUGCUGCCAAACUUGGUAAACAAUCCUUCAACACCGGCAUUGUGGAAAGCUCUAGAUCCUGAGGAUCCUGCCGCGACUCUGUCUAUCAUCUUCCUGCAGUUACCAAUGCAGCCCAGUUUAGUUGUUAAUUCGUUGAUGUUGAGACUGUGCAUGGAAGGUGGAAGAACUGGUGGACAGCGUGAAGAAGGCGCGCGGCCUGAAGACCAAAGAGCGCAACAAGGAUAAGCUGUCAGAUGAGGAGCGCGACGCUCGCAAGGAUCGCAAGCUGGGGCGCAAGCGUGAUCGCACCGAU